AACGGCUGGCGGCGUGCCUAAUACAUGCAAGUCGAACGGUCUUUCUAUGGAAGCUUGCUUCCACUGAGAAGAUAGUGGCGAACGGGUGAGUAACACGUGGGUAACCUGCCCAUAAGAGGGGGAUAACAUCCGGAAACGGGUGCUAAUACCGCAUAGUUUUCUUGAUCGCAUGAUCGGGAAAGGAAAGACGGCCUUUGUGCUGUCGCUUAUGGAUGGACCCGCGGCGUAUUAGUUAGUUGGUGAGGUAACGGCUCACCAAGACGAUGAUACGUAGCCGACCUGAGAGGGUGAUCGGCCACAUUGGGACUGAGACACGGCCCAAACUCCUACGGGAGGCAGCAGUAGGGAAUCUUCCGCAAUGGACGAAAGUCUGACGGAGCAACGCCGCGUGAGUGAAAGAAGGUUUUCGGAUCGUAAAACUCUGUUGUCAGAGAAGAACAAGUUGGAGAGUAACUGCUCCAGCCUUGACGGUAUCUGACCAGAAAGCCACGGCUAACUACGUGCCAGCCGCGGC
rnacentral:rRNA from 1 species